ensembl:lncRNA
GCACUUUAAAAACAACCACAGCUGUAUAACAAGUGAUCUGAGCACAGAACAAAAGUUGGUCCCAUUUCUUUAACAAAACCCAAAAGACAGAAAUAUUAACUUUCAUUUCAAAUUAAAAGCAUUAAAUAUUAAACACCUGUCAGUCCUGCUUUUAUUGACCUCGUCAUUAUUCUUCAUCACACAGUGAAAACACAAACUCAUACACAGAGUCAGACAGCAGAUAUUUCACCGAUUUAUUAAACAUGAAAUCAGUGUCAUAAUUGUGUUUCCUGUUAACAUUGUCACCCUCAGCUGCCUCACUCCAACAUUAAUGUUGAUUCAUUGUUACUGUUUUCUAACUGCUCACCCUCAUGAUGGCGUGACGGUUAGCGUUAAUGAUAACACAGUGACGGUCUGUAUGUUAGACACAAACAUCUAAUGUGACACAUGAAGGCGAUUAAACUCAGUACCUGUGCCGUCUUUAGUUAUCAGUUUAGAAAAUACUGGCGGCAACAUCCUACAUCGCCUCGUUCUCAAGUUCUCGCAGCCACAAACGUGUGCACACGUCGCCCGCCCAACCAUGUGACGACACCACGUCAUCAGAAUUUUACAGCUGAGGGUCAAAAAUGUGUAAACUUAAAGCACAUAUAUUUGUAGCAUCAUGUCAGACCAAACAUGUUCUCAGGCUCUGAGCUGCUUUAAAAGUGUUUGGUUCAGUCUGUGACCUCCGUUCAACACUGGCGUGCUCUCACAUGUAUCACCGCAAAACAAAAUCACACAAAACACAAUAAAAGCAGAAAAAUGCAGAAAAAGUGCAUUGAGGUGACUGUUGUUGUGAUUUGGUAUAUAAAUAAAAAUGAACUGAGUUGUAUGACCUGCUCUGCCCCCCAACAGCAAACGUGUUACAUGAAUCAUGUGAUUAAAACACACAUUAUUAUUACAUUAUUUUUCACAGAUUAACCCUUAAAGCCUUCUUCACAUCUUUUGGUUUCUGUCACUUCCUCAGUCGGUCCGUCACAUUAUUGCGUCCCCAGAAACACUGUAGUUGUGCUUUGUCUACUUCUGCAGUGUUUUCUGUUUGCUUUUUUUGUUGUUGUUGUUGAAGUUUGACCUCUCAGGGCCACUGUAGAUUUGGCUGCAAGGGGCAUUAACAAUUCUUUAAACCCAUCCAUUGAAUUAAAUGGAAUCCCAUUUAAUGCUGAUCCAUCUGUAAAGUGCAACAAACCCCUGCAACAAAUGUUUGUGUUGUUUCGGUAAAUCUGGUCCCACCGAGUCUCCAUGUGCUUCUGUGGAAGCUCUGAUCUCCUCUCACUGCAGGACUCAUCCGGCUGGUUCUGAUCCAUCUGCAGGGACAAACACAGCAGCGUUAUUUUACAUGUUCAGUUACUGAUAACUAGCAAACCCCAUUGAUCAAAACUUUAGCUCAAUUUGAGCAGUGAUGUGUCUCAGAGUCGGUUUGAGGUAAACAAAAAAAGGAAGUUUGAGUUAAAAGAAACAGCUGGAGGAACAGUUUGAAACUGGUCAGGGACAUGAGCCAGCGUUCUCCUCCUCCUACACAGGAGAGGUGAAGAAGAGCAGGGUGGAGUGGGUGGAGAAGAGUGUCAGGGUGAUGGCAGCACGAAGUUUAAAGACGGUGGUGAGACCUGCCACACCUCCAGGGGCAUCAGUGCCUCUGGGUGUGGCAGCUGGCACAUCUGGAAAAGCUCCAUCAGUGCUGACAGGUAGGUAGCUGUUACAGCAUCCACCCAGACGAUGUUUUCAUGUUUCAGCAGACUGCAUCUACUCCUAGGAGAAAGUCCACCUGCAGUCCAGACCUCUGACCAGCUGUGAACAUCUGGAACAUCAUGUAAGCAACAACAGGAGGAAGCAGAGUCAGGACAGCUGCUGUCCUCAGCUCAGAGGAGGCGACAGAGACGGUGAUGGUGUCGUGCUAUAAUUCACUCUGAGCCUCAUUCACUAACAUGAAACAUAAAUACACUGUGCAGAAAACAAGCGCACACAAAACUGCCCCUGGAUCCAUGAAACAUGCACACUGCCUCAUUGUGUGCUUCAUGUUGUGAGCCUUCACUGUGACUCGUGCACGCUUGGAGGCAGUUACACAUCUGAGGGCAGAGAAACGACACAUGUAGGUAAUAAAACAUCUGAGCGUGCGUGCACACUACAGAUUACUGCAGGCUGUUAGUGAAGGAGGCCUGACCUCAUGUGACUCAGUGCAGAACGAUGAGAGAAACUCACUGUUACUCCUGACGAACAUCAUUCAACUCCUG